rnacentral:rRNA from 1 species
GACGAACGCUGGCGGCGUGCUUAACACAUGCAAGUCGAACGGAAAGGCCCUGCUUGCAGGGUACUCGAGUGGCGAACGGGUGAGUAACACGUGGGUGAUCUGCCCUGCACUUCGGGAUAAGCUUGGGAAACUGGGUCUAAUACCGGAUAGGAGCCAUCUUUAGUGUGGUGGUUGGAAAGUUUUUUCGGUGUAGGAUGAGCUCGCGGCCUAUCAGCUUGUUGGUGGGGUAAUGGCCUACCAAGGCGGCGACGGGUAGCCGGCCUGAGAGGGUGUACGGCCACAUUGGGACUGAGAUACGGCCCAGACUCCUACGGGAGGCAGCAGUGGGGAAUAUUGCACAAGGGGCGCAAGCCUGAUGCAGCGACGCCGCGGGGGGGAUGAAGGCCUUCGGGUUGUAAACGCCUUUCGCUAGGGACGAAGCUUUUUGUGACGGUACCUAGAUAAGAAGCACCGGCUAACUACGUG